GACGAACGCUGGCGGCGUGCUUAACACAUGCAAGUCGAACGGAAAGGCCCUGCUUUUGUGGGGUGCUCGAGUGGCGAACGGGUGAGUAACACGUGAGUAACCUGCCCUUGACUUUGGGAUAACUUCAGGAAACUGGGGCUAAUACCGGAUAGGAGCUCCUGCUGCAUGGUGGGGGUUGGAAAGUUUCGGCGGUUGGGGAUGGACUCGCGGCUUAUCAGCUUGUUGGUGGGGUAGUGGCUUACCAAGGCUUUGACGGGUAGCCGGCCUGAGAGGGUGACCGGCCACAUUGGGACUGAGGUACGGCCCAGACUCCUACGGGGGGCAGCAGUGGGGAAUAUUGCACAAUGGGCGGAAGCCUGAUGCAGCAACGGCGCGUGCGGGAUGACGGCCUUCGGGUUGUAAACCGCUUUCGCCUGUGACGAAGCGUGAGUGGCGGUAAUGGGUAAAGAAGCACCGGCUAACUACGUG
rnacentral:rRNA from 1 species